GACGAACGCUGGCGGCGUGCCUAAUACAUGCAAGUUGAGCGCUGAAGGUUGGUACUUGUACCAACUGGAUGAGCAGCGAACGGGUGAGUAACGCGUGGGGAAUCUGCCUUUGAGCGGGGGACAACAUUAGGAAACGAAUGCUAAUACCGCAUAAAAACUUUAAACACAAGUUUUAAGUUUGAAAGAUGCAAUUGCAUCACUCAAAGAUGAUCCCGCGUUGUAUUAGCUAGUUGGUGAGGUAAAGGCUCACCAAGGCGAUGAUACAUAGCCGACCUGAGAGGGUGAUCGGCCACAUUGGGACUGAGACACGGCCCAAACUCCUACGGGAGGCAGCAGUAGGGAAUCUUCGGCAAUGGACGAAAGUCUGACCGAGCAACGCCGCGUGAGUGAAGAAGGUUCUCGGAUCGGAAAACUCUGUUGGUAGAGAAGAACGUUGGUGAGAGUGGAAAGCUCAUCAAGUGACGGUAACUACCCAGAAAGGGACGGCUAACUACGUG
rnacentral:rRNA from 1 species